ACGGGAGGCAGCAGUGGGGAAUAUUGGGCAAUGGGCGAAAGCCUGACCCAGCAACGCCGCGUGAAGGAAGAAGGUCUUCGGAUUGUAAACUUCUUUUAUGUGGGACGAACAAAUGACGGUACCACAUGAAUAAGCCACGGCUAACUACGUGCCAGCAGCCGCGGUAAUACGUAGGUGGCAAGCGUUAUCCGGAUUUACUGGGUGUAAAGGGCGCGUAGGCGGGGAAGCAAGUCAGAUGUGAAAUCCAUGGGCUCAACCCAUGAACUGCAUUUGAAACUGUUUCUCUUGAGUGCUGGAGAGGUAGAUGGAAUUCCUAGUGUAGCGGUGAAAUGCGUAGAUAUUAGGAAGAACACCAGUGGCGAAGGCGAUCUACUAGACAGUAACUGACGCUGAGGCGCGAAAGCGUGGGGAGCAAACAGGAUUAGAUACCCUGGUA
rnacentral:rRNA from 1 species